CCACCCCUCCCCUCCCCUCUCCUGAGGAUAUAAAAGAACUGAAUAGUGACUUACAGAAUGUCUAAAUGAUGGUUCAAUAUGAUAAAGCUGUACAUUCCAUCCAAAUGAAUUUAGGAAUUUUAUGCAAUUGCAAUAAAACUUUCAGAGAAUUUUUCCCCACAGAUGUUGACAAAACAGUGUAAAAGUUCAUCUGGAGAACUGAGUACUUAAGGAACCAUCACAAAAGAAGAAUGAGAGGGAAUGUCCACUGUUAGACACCAAAAUGUGUUCUAAGGUGAAAGUGUUAAAACAGUAUGUUGCUGGUGUCACUCCAGGCAAAAAAACCUCAAGUGCUCUUAUGGCUUGAGCAAGUACCUUGUUCUAAGAUAGGCCUGACUUUGUGAGCUGUCUAAUGGCAUGAAAACUCACAAUUUAAAAAGACACUUCUGACCAAAACCAAAGCAAGACCAAAAACACAUCUGGAGGCCUGAAAUGGGCUACAGGGCCACAGUUUAUGAUCCUUGAUACAAUAAACAGAAUAGAAAAUCCAGAAAUAGUCCCAAAUUUCUAUAGGAAUGCAUUAUAUGCUAUCAUGGCAUAUCCCAGUGGGGAAAGUGUAAAGUAUGCCACAAAUGGUGCUGGGAUAACUAGCUCAUUAUUUGGAAAAAAAGAAAGACAUAUACAAACCAAAUUCCAGAUGGGUUUAUUUAAAUGGGAAAUUAAAUGUUCAAUGUGAAAAUUCAUUAUGUAGCAGGGUAUUCAAUGGAAAUGAUACUUUUCUGUUUUUUUGCCAAUGGUGAGAGAACUACCAGAACACAGCCUUGAUCUCACAAGUCGUAUAGCAACAGGAAGACAGCCAUCUGCAAACCAGCAAGCCGACCUUCAGCAGAUGCUGCUUCUCCUGGCACCUUGAUCUUGGACUUCCCGGCCUCCAGAACUAUGAGAAAGAAAUAUUUAAGAUUUCCAGUCUGCAAACCAGCAAAUGGGCCCUCACCAGACACUGCCUCUCAUGGCCCCUUGAUCUUGGACUUCCCAGCCUCCAGAAACGUGAGAAAGAAAUGUUUUAAGUUUCCCAGUCUAUGAGAAUUUGUUAGAACAGCCCAAACUGACUAAGACACUCACUAACAUGGUAUAUUACCAAUCUCUUAUAUUUUGCCAGUCUGAUAGGUGAAGUUACUCAUCUGCAUACAGUCAUUUCUUCUUCUCUGA